AAAAAAAAAGGAUUAUAAUUUAUUUAUAAAAAUAAUUAAUUUGCAAUUAAUAUAAAUUGACUUUAAUCAAU
rnacentral:tRNA from 1 species